UGGCUGGUGUUCUAACGUAGACCCGUGAACCGGGUUGCGGACAGUGUCUGGUGGGUAGUUUGACUGGGGCGGUCUCCUCCUAAAGCGUAACGGAGGAGCACGAAGGUUGGCUAAUCCUGGUCGGACAUCAGGAGGUUAGUGCAAUGGCAUAAGCCAGCUUGACUGCGAGCGUGACGGCGCGAGCAGGUGCGAAAGCAGGUCAUAGUGAUCCGGUGGUUCUGAAUGGAAGGGCCAUCGCUCAACGGAUAAAAGGUACUCCGGGGAUAACAGGCUGAUACCGCCCAAGAGUUCAUAUCGACGGCGGUGUUUGGCACCUCGAUGUCGGCUCAUCACAUCCUGGGGCUGAAGUAGGUCCCAAGGGUAUGGCUGUUCGCCAUUUAAAGUGGUACGCGAGCUGGGUUUAGAACGUCGUGAGACAGUUCGGUCCCUAUCUGCCGUGGGCGCUGGAGAACUGAGGGGGGCUGCUCCUAGUACGAGAGGACCGGAGUGGACGCAUCACUGGUGUUCGGGUUGUCAUGCCAAUGGCACUGCCCGGUAGCUAAAUGCGGAAGAGAUAAGUGCUGAAAGC
rnacentral:rRNA from 1 species